rfam:Ornithorhynchus anatinus chromosome 2, whole genome shotgun sequence.
UGCAGCGUGGCUCAGUGGAAAGAGCCUGGGCUUGGGAGCCAGAGGUCAUGGGUUCGAAGCCCGGCUCUGCCU